rnacentral:rRNA from 1 species
GACGGAGGAUGCAAGCGUUAUCCGGAAUGAUUGGGCGUAAAGCGUCCGCAGGCGGCAGUUCAAGUCUGCUGUCAAAGCCCGGGGCUUAACUUCGGAAAGGCAGUGGAAACUGAACAGCUAGAGUAUGGUAGGGGCAGAGGGAAUUCCUGGUGUAGCGGUGAAAUGCGUAGAGAUCAGGAAGAACAUCGGUGGCGAAGGCGCUCUGCUGGACCAUAACUGACACUCAGGGACGAAAGCUAGGGGAGCGAAUGGG